AACGAACGCUGGCGGCAUGCCUAACACAUGCAAGUCGAACGAGACCUUCGGGUAUAGUGGCGCACGGGUGCGUAACGCGUGGGAACCUGCCCUUAGGUUCGGAAUAACUCCCCGAAAGGGGUGCUCAUACCGGAUAAUGUCUUCGGACCAAAGAUUUAUCGCCUUUGGAUGGGCCCGCGUUGGAUUAGCUUGUUGGUAGGGUAAAAGCCUACCAAGGCGACGAUCCAUAGCUGGUCUGAGAGGAUGAUCAGCCAAACUGGGACUGAGACACGGCCCAGACUCCUACGGGAGGCAGCAGUGGGGAAUAUUGGACAAUGGGCGAAAGCCUGAUCCAGCAAUGCCGCGUGAGUGAUGAAGGCCUUAGGGUUGUAAAGCUCUUUUACCCGGGAUGAUAAUGACAGUACCGGGAGAAUAAGCUCCGGCUAACUCCGUG
rnacentral:rRNA from 1 species